CUGUUUUACAUUCCAAAUUCAAACAUGUCGAGCUUGAUUUAUUUUUUGUUCGUAAGAAUGUAGCUGAUGGCUCAAUUAUUGUUGGUGAGGUCCCUUCCUGUGAAUAGGUAGCUGACAUUAUUACCAAGCCACUCUCUGUAUCGUAUUUUGAUCGAUUUCGAGGGCUUCUUCGGGUUUUACCUCUUGAAAAGUUAGGUAAAUGUUAAAAGUAUAGGUUGUUAGUUUGUUAUUUCAGAUGUUAGGUUGUUAACAAUAGCAAUAGUUAAGUUGUUAACAAUAGCAGUUAUUCAGAUACUCUAUAAAUAUCUUUGCUAUAGUUUAAAAAAAAGCAAGUAGAUGUACAGAAAAGUUUCUUAAUACAAAAUACAUUUCAUUCUAUUUCUUUUCAAUCAAUACUUUUAGGUUUAAGUUUACCGUAGGUGUUAACACAUACCAUCAGCGUUUGCUGCAGAGGCUCUCCCUUGUGUUCAGGCGAUUCAGUUCGGGGCAGAGUUAGGUUUCUUAAGAAGUGACAUUGAAGGUGAUGCUUUGUCAGUUAUCAAGAAGAUUCAAAGUGAGGAAGAUGACAGAUCUGAAAUUAGGGCUUACACUUUAGAUGCUAAAAGACUAAAAAGUUACUUCAUUUCUUGUUGAUUUAGACAUGCAUGGAGACAAAUGAACAAAGUGGCACAUCUAUUAGCAAAAGAAGGACUCGGUAUGGAAGAAUAUGCUUAUCUGAGGAACGACCUUCCCAAAUCUGUUGCCCAGGCUGGUGAGGAAAAUAGACGCGAUGGAAGAAGUGCACAACUGAUGAGUUCAAGUUGGAACCAAGGAAUCAUCGACCAUGUGAUAGGAAAAUGUUAAAAUGGAAUGCUCAUGUAAUGUGUUUUGACGAUUGGGGAAAAGGAAAGUUAGACAGUGAAGAUAUUUUGGUUCAGCUUGCUCAAACAUCAGAGCAACUAAUUAGCGAGUAAAAUCGCUCUUUGAAGGGAUAUCUAAGUCAUAGGUGUUUUCUUGGUUUUUGUUGAUGAGUCUCUCUGGAAAUGAAAUGCCAAAGAUGGAAGAAGAAGAAGAAGAAGAGGAAGAAAGGGAUUCGUCAAUGAAAGAUGAAUGGUUGUUGAUUGAUUUUUAGGGGUUUGUUAGGAAAUUUGAUUGUUUUAGGGGUUUUGUUUUUA
rnacentral:lncRNA from 1 species